AUUGAACGCUGGCGGCAUGCCUUACACAUGCAAGUCGAACGGUAACAGGUUAGGCUGACGAGUGGCGAAUGGGUGAGUAAUAUAUCGGAACGUGCCCAGUCGUGGGGGAUAACUGCUCGAAAGAGCAGCUAAUACCGCAUACGACCUGAGGGUGAAAGCGGGGGAUCGCAAGACCUCGCGCGAUUGGAGCGGCCGAUAUCAGAUUAGGUAGUUGGUGGGGUAAAGGCCCACCAAGCCAACGAUCUGUAGCUGGUCUGAGAGGACGACCAGCCACACUGGGACUGAGACACGGCCCAGACUCCUACGGGAGGCAGCAGUGGGGAAUUUUGGACAAUGGGCGCAAGCCUGAUCCAGCCAUGCCGCGUGCGGGAAGAAGGCCUUCGGGUUGUAAACCGCUUUUGUCAGGGAAGAAAAGGUUCUGGUUAAUACCUGGGACUCAUGACGGUACCUGAAGAAUAAGCACCGGCUAACUACGUGCCAGCAGCCGCCGUAA
rnacentral:rRNA from 1 species